AGAGUUUGAUCCUGGCUCAGGAUGAACGCUGGCGGCGUGCCUAAUACAUGCAAGUCGAGCGAACGGACGAGAAGCUUGCUUCUCUGAUGUUAGCGGCGGACGGGUGAGUAACACGUGGAUAACCUACCUAUAAGACUGGGAUAACUUCGGGAAACCGGAGCUAAUACCGGAUAAUAUUUUGAACCGCAUGGUUCAAAAGUGAAAGACGGUCUUGCUGUCACUUAUAGAUGGAUCCGCGCUGCAUUAGCUAGUUGGUAAGGUAACGGCUUACCAAGGCAACGAUGCAUAGCCGACCUGAGAGGGUGAUCGGCCACACUGGAACUGAGACACGGUCCAGACUCCUACGGGAGGCAGCAGUAGGGAAUCUUCCGCAAUGGGCGAAAGCCUGACGGAGCAACGCCGCGUGAGUGAUGAAGGUCUUCGGAUCGUAAAACUCUGUUAUUAGGGAAGAACAUAUGUGUAAGUAACUGUGCACAUCUUGACGGUACCUAAUCAGAAAGCCACGGCUAACUACGUGCCAGCAGCCGCGGUAAUACGUAGGUGGCAAGCGUUAUCCGGAAUUAUUGGGCGUAAAGCGCGCGUAGGCGGUUUUUUAAGUCUGAUGUGAAAGCCCACGGCUCAACCGUGGAGGGUCAUUGGAAACUGGAAAACUUGAGUGCAGAAGAGGAAAGUGGAAUUCCAUGUGUAGCGGUGAAAUGCGCAGAGAUAUGGAGGAACACCAGUGGCGAAGGCGACUUUCUGGUCUGUAACUGACGCUGAUGUGCGAAAGCGUGGGGAUCAAACAGGAUUAGAUACCCUGGUAGUCCACGCCGUAAACGAUGAGUGCUAAGUGUUAGGGGGUUUCCGCCCCUUAGUGCUGCAGCUAACGCAUUAAGCACUCCGCCUGGGGAGUACGACCGCAAGGUUGAAACUCAAAGGAAUUGA
rnacentral:rRNA from 2 species